GAUGAACGCUGGCGGCGUGCUUAAUACAUGCAAGUCGAACGAAUGGAUGUCUAGCUUGCUAGACUGAAGUUAGUGGCGAACGGGUGAGUAAUACAUAGGCAAUCUGCCCUGAAGUGUGGGAUAGCUAUUGGAAACGAUAAUUAAUACCGCAUAAGACCUACGGGUGAAAGCGGGGGACCUUCGGGCCUCGCGCAGUUGGAGCGGCCGAUGACUGAUUAGCUAGUUGGUGGGGUAAAGGCCUACCAAGGCGACGAUCAGUAGCUGGUCUGAGAGGACGACCAGCCACAUUGGGACUGAGACACGGCCCAAACUCCUACGGGAGGCAGCAGUGGGGAAUUUUGGACAAUGGGGGCAACCCUGAUCCAGCCAUGCCGCGUGCAGGAAGAAGGCCUUCGGGUUGUAAACUGCUUUUGUCAGGAACGAAACGGAAACGGGUAACAUACGUUUCUAAUGACGGUACCUGAAGAAUAAGCACCGGCUAACUACGUG
rnacentral:rRNA from 1 species